rnacentral:rRNA from 1 species
GAUGAACGCUGGCGGCGUGCUUAACACAUGCAAGUCGAACGGAAAGGCCCUGCUUUUGUGGGGUUCUCGAGUGGCGAACGGGUGUGAAACACGGGAGUAUCCUGCCCUUGACUUGGGGAUAACUUCAGGAAACUGGGGCUAAUACCGGAUAGGAGCUCCUGCUGCAUGGGGGGGGUUGGAAAGCUUCGGCGGUUGGGGCUGGUGUCGGGGGUUAUUAGCUUGUUGGGUGGGUAGUUGCUUACCCAGGGUUUGACGGGUAGCCGGCCUGGGAGGGUGAACGGGCACAUGGGGACUGCGAUAGGGACCAGACGCCUACGGGAGGCAAUGGUGGAGAAUAUUGCACAAUGAGCGGAAGCCUGAUGCGACAACGCCGCGUGCGGGAUGCCCGCCUUCGGGUUGUAAACCGCUUUCGCCUGUGACGAAGCGUGAGUGACGGUAAUGGGUAAAGAAGCACCGGCUAACUACGUG